rnacentral:rRNA from 1 species
CCUACGGGAGGCAGCAGUGAGGAAUAUUGGUCAAUGGACGAGAGUCUGAACCAGCCAAGUAGCGUGAAGGAUGACUGCCCUAUGGGUUGUAAACUUCUUUUAUAUGGGAAUAAAAUGUUCCAAGUGUGGGAUUUUGUAUGUACCAUAUGAAUAAGGAUCGGCUAACUCCGUGCCAGCAGCCGCGGUAAUACGGAGGAUCCGAGCGUUAUCCGGAUUUAUUGGGUUUAAAGGGAGCGUAGGUGGAUUGUUAAGUCAGUUGUGAAAGUUUGCGGCUCAACCGUAAAAUUGCAGUUGAAACUGGCAGUCUUGAGUACAGUAGAGGUGGGCGGAAUUCGUGGUGUAGCGGUGAAAUGCUUAGAUAUCACGAAGAACUCCGAUUGCGAAGGCAGUUCACUGGACUGCAACUGACACUGAGGCUCGAAAGUGUGGGUAUCAAACAGGAUUAGAGACCCUUGUAGUC